UGUUUUGUUCGAGAGACGAUUUAAUUCUCUUGGUAGAAGAACAGUUGAGGUAUAGCAAAACAAAUGGCCGAGAUAUCGUUUCAGUCGUCAUUUCUUUGGAUUGACGAUUCGAUUGUUGCUCUUCCACAU